rnacentral:rRNA from 1 species
CCUACGGGAGGCAGCAGUGAGGAAUAUUGGUCAAUGGGCGCGAGCCUGAACCAGCCAAGUCGCGUGAGGGAUGAAGGUUCUAUGGAUUGUAAACCUCUUUUAUAAGGGAAUAAAGUGUGGGACGUGUCCUAUUUUGCGUGUACCUUAUGAAUAAGGAUCGGCUAACUCCGUGCCAGCAGCCGCGGUAAUACGGAGGAUCCGAGCGUUAUCCGGAUUUAUUGGGUUUAAAGGGUGCGUAGGCGGACUUUUAAGUCAGCGGUGAAAGUUUGGGGCUCAACCAUAGAAUUGCCGUUGAAACUGGGGGGCUGGAGUAUGUGUGAGGCAGGCGGAAUGCGUGGUGUAGCGGUGAAAUGCUUAGAUAUCACGCAGAACCCCGAUUGCGAAGGCAGCAUGCCAAGGCAGGACUGACGCUGAUGCACGAAAGCGUGGGGAUCAAACAGGAUUAGAUACCCGAGUAGUC